rnacentral:rRNA from 1 species
ACACAUGCAAGUCGAGCGUGAUGAAGGUAGCUUGCUACCGGAUUCAGCGGCGGACGGGUGAGUAAUGCUUAGGAAUCUGCCUAUUAGUGGGGGACAACGUUCCGAAAGGAGCGCUAAUACCGCAUACGUCCUACGGGAGAAAGCAGGGGACCUUUGGGCCUUGCGCUAAUAGAUGAGCCUAAGUCGGAUUAGCUAGUUGGUAGGGUAAAGGCCUACCAAGGCGACGAUCUGUAGCGGGUCUGAGAGGAUGAUCCGCCACACUGGGACUGAGACACGGCCCAGACUCCUACGGGAGGCAGCAGUGGGGAAUAUUGGACAAUGGGGGGAACCCUGAUCCAGCCAUGCCGCGUGUGUGAAGAAGGCCUUUUGGUUGUAAAGCACUUUAAGCGAGGAGGAGGCUACCUAGAUUAAUACUUUAGGAUAGUGGACGUUACUCGCAGAAUAAGCACCGGCUAACUCUGUGCCAGCAGCCGCGGUAAUACAGAGGGUGCGAGCGUAAUCGGAUUUACUGGGCGUAAAGCGUGCGUAGGCGGCCAAUAAGUCAAAUGUGAAAUCCCCGAGCUUACUGGGAUUGCAUCGAUACUGUUGCUAGAGUAUGGGAGAGGAUGGUAGAUCCAGGUGUAGCGGUGAAAUGCGUAGAGAUCUGGAGGAACCGAUGGCGAGGCAGCCAUCUG